GUGAGGGUCGGCCCGCUCAGAAUCUAGGGGAGAUCGGGAAGCUCUGGUGGUCCUAAGAUCCCCUUCCAUGUGGGAAGCAAGCACGAGGCAGCUGAGUGGAGCGGGCUCUCCGCCCGGAGUUUGCGGUCCAGGUGUCUUCUAUGAGCACAGAGACUGCUUGGCAGGUGGAGACGGGAGAAACGUGUCAGGAAUGUGUCGUCCAGGGAGGGGGCUCACGCUGCGGAUCCCUGGAUCCCUGGCUUGAAGGGGCAGGGAGGAGGCUACAAAUGAGUGACGAACAAGCCAAGAGACUUCCAAACCCAGUUGGCAAGCAAGUGCUUUCAUGGGGAAAGGGAGACCCAGUGGAGUUUCUCAACCUUCACUGGCUGCAAGCCCCAAAGUCUGGCCCCUGCGUUCCACCAGGGCUGGACUGUCCUGGUGACCUUGAGCCAGGAGGACUCCUCCCUGGGCCUGAGCUUCCUCCUCUGCCAAUGACGGUUAAGGCUGACGAUCCCAGCGGCCUCAAGUUUCAUAGUCAGCCUUCUCUGACUCAGUCUUUCCCUCCCCUGUCCUCUUGCCCAGCAGCCCUGAACACAUGAUCCUAAUUUUAAGGGAGGAAAGAGAAGGAAAAAAGAGGAUCCAUCAGAGGAGGCAGGGAAGAGAUUGUUUCAUCCACUCAACGACAGUCUGUGGACAUCAAGCUGUGUCAGACACUGGGCGAGGUGCAGGAAUCCAAAGGUUUCACUUCUGCAUCAUCAGAAGUGAAAUCAUCAACAUGGGUCACCUGUUCCUGAGUGUCAGCAGGAGAGUUAUGCAUGGAACAUCCAUCUUCCCAUCCCCAGGAAUUCCCAAUUCUCUCCAACAAGUGCAUGCAAACACCAGGGUUCCAGGGCACUUGGAGGUCAGAAGAGCCAGGAUGCCCAAAGCCCCUCCCUCGGGGCCCCCAGAAGCACAUGAAGCCAUGAACACGCAUCACCUGUACCACACCCCCCCCCAACCCAACCCAAGAGAAGGAAACAGCCUCUGUUCAGACCACAGGCUUAGGCAGAGGACAUGCCCCGCCAGACUCCCAGCUGUGCUUCUGAAACCUGCAGCUUUUCCAGAGAACCAUCCAGCCACUGUAUCAGCAGAGGGAGCUCUAGGUAGCAAAUAACUGUCCUCUGACAGCAGACAGUACUUUCCUGUAGAAAAGAUUUGUAGGAAACAAGGAAAAGCAGGGGUCCUAAGUGGAGCUGGCGUCCAUCCUGUGCAGAAGAAAACGCCACCAAUUUGCAAGGGUAGCUUGGGGGGUGGGGGUCAGGGCUGGGUGGUGAUCCAGGAGAGGAAGAGACACCAGCUGAGGAAAAGAUGCGUGAAAAUCACCACACUGC